GAGAAUGUGGUUCAGUGGCAGAACAGUUGCCUAGCAUGCAAAAAACCCUGGGUUGGAUUCCUAGCACUGUUA
rnacentral:tRNA from 1 species